UCAUGGCUCAGGACGAACGCUGGCGGCACGCUUAACACAUGCAAGUCGAACGGAGUUAUCGAGAGCUUGCUUUGAUAACUUAGUGGCGGACGGGUGAGUAACACGUGAGCAAUCUGCCCUUAAGAGGGGGAUAGCAGUUGGAAACGACUGAUAAUACCGCAUAAGAUAGUAGUACCGCAUGGUACAGCUAUAAAGAUUUAUCGCUUAAGGAUGAGCUCGCGUCUGAUUAGCUAGUUGGUGAGGUAACGGCUCACCAAGGCAACGAUCAGUAGCCGGACUGAGAGGUUGGACGGCCACAUUGGGACUGAGACACGGCCCAGACUCCUACGGGAGGCAGCAGUGGGGAAUAUUGCACAAUGGAGGAAACUCUGAUGCAGCGAUGCCGCGUGAGGGAAGAAGGUUUUAGGAUUGUAAACCUCUGUUGACAGGGACGAUAAUGACGGUACCUGUUGAGGAAGCUCCGGCUAACUACGUGCCAGCCGCAGC
rnacentral:rRNA from 1 species